rnacentral:rRNA from 1 species
UGGGGAAUAUUGCACAAUGGGCGCAAGCCUGAUGCAGCCAUGCCGCGUGUGUGAAGAAGGCCUUCGGGUUGUAAAGCACUUUCAGCGGGGAGGAAGGCGAUAAGGUUAAUAACCUUGUCGAUUGACGUUACCCGCAGAAGAAGCACCGGCUAACUCCGUGCCAGCAGCCGCGGUAAUACGGAGGGUGCAAGCGUUAAUCGGAAUUACUGGGCGUAAAGCGCACGCAGGCGGUCUGUCAAGUCGGAUGUGAAAUCCCCGGGCUCAACCUGGGAGCUGCAUUCGAAACUGGCAGGCUAGAGUCUUGUAGAGGGGGGUAGGAUUCCAGGUGUGGCGGUGAAAUGCGUGGAGAUCUGGAGGAAUACCGGUGGCGAGGGCGGCCCCCUGGACAAAGACAGACGCUCAGGUGCGAGAGCGUGGGGAGCGAACAGG